ensembl:lncRNA
GUCUCGUCACUCGGCUGUGAGACUAGACAUGAACUUGAUGCUCAGGGGGAAUUCUCCGAACCGACCUUGAGAACAAGACAGUGGUGACUCACACAGCUCGCCCCUGUCUUCCACCAACCACACCGGCACACGACCUCGGAGGCCUCCACUCAUCAAUCAAGUGUGUGAGAAAUCUGCUUCGAGUGCUUGCUGAGACUUCGUGUCCUACCUGUCCUCUUGGGUUAUCCAGCGCCUUUCUUCCUUGACUGAUGCUGCAGGCACUUGACAUUUAUCUCACUCAUCUGCACACUGAGGAGUCGGGAAGAGACAGCUGGGGUGGCCAGAUCUCAGAAGAAGAGAUCAAGACCUGCAGAGAGAUGCUGCUUGAUUGGCCAAGGAGGAAAACUCAAGCAGCCUGGAGAGAGAUGGCGAAGACAGCUGGGGAAGAACCUGAGGUCCAGUUUCCAGGCAGAGGAUGUUCCCAUGAUGCCUCACGAGCUCCGUAG